UCUAGAAGUGAUGUUUCUUAUUACCGCCCCAGUCUGAAAAUUCAUGACUGAUUGGUACCUCUCUGAUCAAAA
rnacentral:snoRNA from 1 species